rnacentral:rRNA from 1 species
UACGAAGGGGGCUAGCGUUGCUCGGAAUCACUGGGCGUAAAGGGUGCGUAGGCUGGGUCUUUAAGUCAGGGGUGAAAUCCUCGGAGCUCAACUCCAGAACUGCCUUUGAUACUGGACGGAGCGUUGAAGUUCCGGGAGGAGGUGAGUGGAACUGGCGAGUGUAGAGGUGAAAUUCGUAGAUAUUACGCAAGAACACCAGUGGCGGA